rnacentral:rRNA from 1 species
AAAUAGAACUUUGCAGAGAGAGUUAACAGGGCGUGAAACCGUUAAUUGGCAAACGAAUCGGAGCCACGAAGUCGUUUCGCUGAUAAGUUGGGCCGAGUUCAGCUUAAGAGGAAACUUUUAGGUGCAUUCUCGUAGUUCAACCUCGUUGUAAACGUACACUGCAACCAGUUAGACAAUUGGCGAUGGAACCAGUUGGCAAGUGAAGCAAUUUGCUUGUUAAUGAAAAUAUUGCAUGUUUUAGUUAGUAAUAACAUGAGGGAGCUUGCUCUUUUUGUGUUGUUGGAUUAAAACUUGUGGACUAUCCCCAAAGACUGACUGGCAAAAUAAAAAUCGCGAAAGCGUUUUAUAGAAUGCAGCUGGCUGCAUAGAUGCCUACAUGUUCAACCAUGAAGUUUUAAGCUCAGCAUUUUUAAAUUCAGACUUGCUUGCUACCAGUGGGGCAACUCCUGGUGCUUGUAUAGAUUUGUCUAAUUGGGUGUUGACUUGGCUUUGUGUUGUUUGGAUAUGCAACGAUAGGGUGUUUAUGUAAGUUAGUUCGCAACUUAAUUGGCAGUGAGUAGGUCGGCUUUCCGAACGACCCGUCUUGAAACACGGACCAAGGAGUCUAAUUAGGCAUCAAGUCGAUCGGUCUUGAAUAGGCCAGAUAGAGGAUUUAUUCUCAAAUGAAGGCGAAGAGAAAUCAAAUCAUGUGAUCGUUUGAAUAAUAACAAUUUGGACGCGCAACAUGUGCCUGUUCGUAUAGCAAUGUUAGCAAUAACUUGCUGGGCGGAGCAAAGAGAUGCUUGAUUGGUACC